rnacentral:tRNA from 1 species
GGACCCGUAGCAUAGUCUGGAUAAUGCGGCGGCCUUCUAAGCCGCAGAUCGGGGGUUCGAAUCCCUCCGGGUCCG